rnacentral:sRNA from 1 species
GCCGGGCGCAGUGGCGGGUGCCUGUAAUCCCACCUACUUGGGAGGCUGAGGCAGGAGAAUCGCUUGAACCUGGGAGGUGGAGGUUGCAGUGAGCCAAGAUCGCACCACUGCACUCCAGCCUGGGUGACAGAGUAAGACCCUGUCUCAA